UGGUUUGUCGUGUUGUUCGUGAAAUCUCACGGCUUAACUGUGAGCGUGCGGGCGAUACGGGCAGACUUGAGUACUGCAGGGGAGACUGGAAUUCCUGGUGUAGCGGUGGAAUGCGCAGAUAUCAGGAGGAACACCGGUGGCGAAGGCGGGUCUCUGGGCAGUAACUGACGCUGAGGAGCGAAAGCGUGGGGAGCGAACAGGAUUAGAUACCCUGGUAGUCCACGCCGUAAACGGUGGGUACUAGGUGUGGGUUUCCUUCCUUGGGAUCCGUGCCGUAGCUAACGCAUUAAGUACCCCGCCUGGGGAGUACGGCCGCAAGGCUAAAACUCAAAGAAAUUGACGGGGGCCCGCACAAGCGGCGGAGCAUGUGGAUUAAUUCGAUGCAACGCGAAGAACCUUACCUGGGUUUGACAUGCACAGGACGCCGGCAGAGAUGUCGGUUCCCUCGUGGCCUGUGUGCAGGUGGUGCAUGGCUGUCGUCAGCUCGUGUCGUGAGAUGUUGGGUUAAGUCCCGCAACGAGCGCAACCCUUGUCUCAUGUUGCCAGCGGGUAAUGCCGGGGACUCGUGAGAGACUGCCGGGGUCAACUCGGAGGAAGGUGGGGAUGACGUCAAGUCAUCAUGCCCCUUAUGUCCAGGGCUUCACACAUGCUACAAUGGCCGGUACAAAGGGCUGCGAUGCCGCGAGGUUAAGCGAAUCCUUUUAAAGCCGGUCUCAGUUCGGAUCGGGGUCUGCAACUCGACCCCGUGAAGUCGGA
rnacentral:rRNA from 1 species